rnacentral:misc_RNA from 1 species
UCUCCGCUUGCGCGGGCAGUCUCGCCAGAGUCCCCGGCAUGACCCGAUGGUAACUGGCGAUAGGGGUUGCGCUCGUUGCGGGACUUAACCCAACACCUCACGGCACGAGCUGACGACAACCAUGCAGCACCUUGCACCUCGCCCCGAAGGGAAAACCGCUUUCACGGCCGGUCGAGGGCAUUCUAGCCCAGGUAAGGUUCCUCGCGUAUCAUCGAAUUAAAGCACAUGCUCCACCGCUUGUGCGGGCCCCCGUCAAUUCCUUUGAGUUUCAAUCUUGCGAUCGUACUCCCCAGGUGGAUCACUUAACGCUUUCGCUAGGUGACUGACCGUAUAUCGCCAAUCACGAGGGAUCAUCGUUUACGGCGUGGACUAC